UACAGAGGGUGCAAACGUUGCUCGGAAUUAUUGGGCGUAAAGGGCGCGUAGGCGGCUCGGUAAGGUUGCGGUGAAAGCCCGGGGCUCAACCCCGGGUCGGCCGUGGCAACUGCUGAGCUAGAGCACUGUAGAGGCAGGUGGAAUUCCGGGUGUAGCGGUGGAAUGCGUAGAGAUCCGGAAGAACACCGGUGGCGAAGGCGGCCUGCUGGGCAGUGGCUGACGCUGAUGCGCGACAGCGUGGGGAGCAAACAGG
rnacentral:rRNA from 1 species